AGCUAACUAGUUCUAGCCUGCUUGGGAAUAUCGAUAUAUCUUUGGGUCCAGUCUGCUAGUUUAGCCACCGCGCUAGCUAGCGAUACGAAACCUGCUAGCCAGUAGGCUAACUAUCGGAUACGAGUCAAUCCAAUCUAUGCAUCUAGUUUAGAUUAAUUCACUUCAGCAGAUGCAUACAAAAAAAAUGCCCUCGUUGCCAGCUGCUAACGGACUCACUAGCUUGGCGGACUUAACUGCAACACUGGCUCGGUUUCAGAUUUUAGUUAAUAAGCUAACGGCUGCGAGUCAGCUCGUAUUUAGGGAAGUCUUGCAGCGUUUCCGACAGCAACAACAGCAAAAAAAAAAUAAAAACGACAUAAAAACAGAGUCCAACGGCUUUAAAAACCAAGAUGAAAUCGCACACGGCAGCAUCGGAGGCAUUUGGGAUACUUGUAUCAGUGUUGGAACAACUCUUCAAUGUGGACAAGGGAAAGAGAGAAGCUGUGGGACACUCACGCUCCAGACUGGAUCCUGAGAGAGCCGACUUCGUUGUUGCACCAGCCCAUGGCCUGGAGGGAGGGGUAAUCGUCACUGAGCUCGCCCUUACGGCCCAGGAAGUUCUCACGCUCGUAGAUGGUCAUACGGCACUCUCUGUGGUUCUGCAAACGGGAAACAAAAAGAAACAAAAGAACAAAAGAGGCAUGUCAGUUGUUUUUCCGGGGGGCACAUCUUCAAAACACAGGGCUUUGGUUUUGUUCUGUUUUCUUUAUUUAGGCCUACACAUGCAAAAAAUUAAGUUUGUUUGGUAUUCUGACAUCCGCGGGUAAAAUAAUUAAAAAAAAAGCACUCACAAGGCUUUGGAUGCUUCCAGAAGCUCCCACAAUACAAGGGUGGCUAUUUAUAGUAAAUUACAUCUAUGUUACGCAGAGGAUAACCUUCUCUCUGCGUCUUCAGAAUUAUUUUUUUCAUUUAUUCAAAUAAGUGGGUCAAAUUAUGUUUAGCCUUUACGGCCAGAAUUUCUGGAAAUAUCACAUAAAUGAGUAAUGUUUUCAUUUUCAACGGACCCUGAAAAACUGACUUUUUGUCAUUUGCUGUCAAUAAUAUCAUUUUGUAAUGGUCUUACAAAACAUUUUUCCAUGUAAAUACUCUCCCAAACUGUAUUAAGUUCCUGUUGUCUUUAUGUUUGAAAAGGAAAAAUGGAAACAGAUAUUGUUCCGAUAUAAGUCUUGUAUUCUACAUUGCUGUGCUAAUAAAUAAAAUCUAAAUAUGUUUGA